AUUGAACGCUGGCGGCAGGCUUAACACAUGCAAGUCGAGCGGGGGAAGGUAGCUUGCUACCGGACCUAGCGGCGGACGGGUGAGUAAUGCUUAGGAAUCUGCCUAUUAGUGGGGGACAACAUCUCGAAAGGGAUGCUAAUACCGCAUACGUCCUACGGGAGAAAGCAGGGGAUCUUCGGACCUUGCGCUAAUAGAUGAGCCUAAGUCGGAUUAGCUAGUUGGUGGGGUAAAGGCCUACCAAGGCGACGAUCUGUAGCGGGUCUGAGAGGAUGAUCCGCCACACUGGGACUGAGACACGGCCCAGACUCCUACGGGAGGCAGCAGUGGGGAAUAUUGGACAAUGGGGGGAACCCUGAUCCAGCCAUGCCGCGUGUGAGAAGAAGGCCUUAUGGUUGUAAAGCACUUUAAGCGAGGAGGAGGCUACUUUAGUUAAUACCUAGAGAUAGUGGACGUUACUCGCAGAAUAAGCACCGGCUAACUCUGUGCCAGCAGCCGCGGUAAUACAGAGGGUGCGAGCGUUAAUCGGAUUUACUGGGCGUAAAGCGUGCGUAGGCGGCUUAUUAAGUCGGAUGUGAAAUCCCCGAGCUUAACUUGGGAAUUGCAUUCGAUACUGGUGAGCUAGAGUAUGGGAGAGGAUGGUAGAAUUCCAGGUGUAGCGGUGAAAUGCGUAGAGAUCUGGAGGAAUACCGAUGGCGAAGGCAGCCAUCUGGCCUAAUACUGACGCUGAGGUACGAAAGCAUGGGGAGCAAACAGGAUUAGAUACCCUGGUAGUCCAUGCCGUAAACGAUGUCUACUAGCCGUUGGGGCCUU
rnacentral:rRNA from 1 species